GAUAAACGCUGGCGGCGUGCCUAAUGCAUGCAAGUCGAACGGUUUUGAUUUAUCAAGAUAGUGGCGAACGGGUGAGUAACGCGUAAGCAACCUGCCCCUAAGCGGGGAAUAACCUCGGGAAACUGAGGCUAAUACCGCGUGUGGUUCUUCACUGCAAGGUGAAGGAUUAAAGCCUUCGGGCGCUUAGGGAGGGGCUUGCGUCUGAUUAGCUAGUUGGUGGGGUAACGGCCUACCAAGGCGAUGAUCGGUAGCUGGUUUGAGAGGACGGUCAGCCACAUUGGGACUGAGAUACGGCCCAGACUCCUACGGGAGGCAGCAGCAAGGAAUUUUGUGCAAUGGGCGAAAGCCUGACACAGCAACGCCGCGUGGGGGAUGAAUGCCUUCGGGUUGUAAACCCCUUUUAUCAGGGAAGAAUAAUGACGGUACCUGAUGAAUAAGCCACGGCUAACUACGUGCCAGCAGCCGCGGUAAUACGUAGGUGGCGAGCGUUAUCCGGAUUUACUGGGCGUAAAGAGUGCGUAGGCGGCUUUUCAAGUCGGAUGUGAAAUCUCCCGGCUCAACCGGGAGGGAUUGCCCGAUACUGUUAGGCUAGAGGGCAGCAGGAGGAAGUGGAAUUCCCGGUGUAGUGGUGAAAUGCGUAGAUAUCGGGAGGAACACCAGUGGCGAAGGCGGCUUCCUAGGCUGUUUCUGACGCUGAGGCACGAAAGUGUGGGUAGCGAACAGGAUUAGAUACCCUGGUAGUCCACACUGUCAACGAUGGAUACUAGGUAUUGGGAGUAUCGACCCUCUCAGUGCCGAAGCUAACGCUUUAAGUAUCCCGCCUGGGGACUACGGCCGCAAGGCUAAAACUCAAAGGAAUUGACGG
rnacentral:rRNA from 1 species